rnacentral:lncRNA from 1 species
AAAUAACGUGGCCACUAGAAAGAAGAGUCAUCCACAUAUACUUUUAUUGACCACAUACAUAUCCACCGAAUUCUAUUCUAUAUAAAAUAGUAUAAAAUUGUAACUUUAUCUACAACCCUUAAAUAUAAACAUAUCUCAAAUCCAAUCCUUAGAUAUUAAAACUUAUUCCAAUCCCACCCAACUUCUAUGCUAAACUCUAAACUCUAAUCAGUAAACCCUAAACCCAAAUCUAAACCAUAAACCCAAAUAUAAAUCAUAACUCCAAAUAUAAGUACAAAAUCCAAAUAGAAUUGAACAAAAAAAUAACAUAGUACAUAUUUGUGAAAUUAUAAAAUAUCUGUAAUUGCAUGAAAGAAGUUAUUACUGACCUCAACCAUACUCCUUCACCUUCUAAAUACUAAACCUUAAACUCUAAUCACUCAACUCUUACCCAAAUAUAAAUCCUAAACCCCUAAAUACUAACCCAAUCCUAAUCACACCUCAACCCCUAAAUCCUAAACCAUAAACCCUAAACUUAACCCAAAUAUGAACCCUAAACCCAAAUAUCAAAAUUUAAACUUUAACCAAUGUUAACCCCAAUAUUUCAUAAACUAAACCUAAAUUUUAAAAGGCCAGUAAGAUGCAUUACCAUUCUACAUGAGGCAUAUAGAAUAGAAAUGGUAAAAAUGUAGUUGCAAUCUAAAGAUCAUCUUAACAUAUUUUUCAAAUGCUGAUAUGGUCAUGCCUUCAUGGAAGGUGGUAAUGCUUGCCCCAAUGCCAACUCCAAUCGUACAUAAACUAAACCAUAUCAACUAUCACUAAACCCUACAUAAAAAUAUAAACCCUAAUCCAAUGUCAACUUCAAUCUUCCAUAAACUAAACCCUAGCCACUAAUCACUAAACCCUAUAUAGAAAUAUAAACCCUAAUCCAAUGUCAACCCCAAUCUUUCAUAAACUAAACCCCCAAGUAACAUGCAUUUCCAUUCUACAUGAGCCUAUAGAAUAGAAAAUGUGACAAACGAUAUAGCACAUUACAUAUAUAUAUUGUUCAAAUUUUGAAGUGUCUAUGAUUGUAGGGAUAGAGGUAAUGCUUACACCAAAUUCAGAUCGUUGUGCCGAAAGAAACGAAGAUUAACGGCAUUAGAGAAAAGAGGUGGAAGAGAUAACAUCAUAUAUGUAUCAUUCCCAUUCAACGUCACAUUGUAUUCUGUUUUAUUUGAUAUAAUAAUAAAUUUUAUUCCAUUUACGUUCAAUAUAUUAUUUCUCUUUACAAAAUCAUAUACAUACUAAUAUAAACCACAUAUAAACACCAAUACAAAACUCAUUCAAUAGAACAUGAAACAACAACAAACAAGAUUGAACCCUCUCUUUCA